ensembl:lncRNA
AGUGAACGCCAGCCAUGCAGCCAGGAUUCAAGUGAGGCCCGUGCUCUGGGGUGUGUCAUGGUGAGAGGAGGCAUGCUGUGAUGUCUAGGGACACCUAACUGCUCCCGGGACCUCCAGGCACCCUGACACCCAGUACUCGUCCAAAGGUGCGACUCUCCGAGAACCAGAGGUCAGAGCUGAAGCGCCCGGAAACACCUUGAAGACCCGCAGAAACAGCGCCCCAGCAGGACUGAGGCAGACUUCAGGCGCAGUGAAGAGAUCGGGCGGGACCCACCUGGAUUUCCAAGCCUGUCUGUUGCUGGAGGCCCUUAAGGACGGAUACAAAACAACUUUCACUGAGAACUUACUCAAGCCCCCGGGAACCGCCUUGCGAAGUCUCCUUUUGCCUUAAUUCUAAGUGAAGCUGUAGACAAGUUGGAUUCAAAGCAACAGGGAACCGUCAACUGCAGCAAGUCCGGCCCAAGAAAGGAGCGGCCGUCACUUACUCAGACCUUUAAGCUCUAUCGGAAACGGGAACCAGAGAUAAACUUAUCUUCUCAGGGUCCAUUGCAAAGUCCUCUUGGGACAUGCACGCUCUCACCUAGAAACGUGUCCCCCAGGGCUGGUGACUCCUCUCUCUUAGGGCUGUCCUUCAGUCCUUCCUAACAAAGGUGCUCCCGGGGGCUGGCUGGGCGUACUUCCUUCCUCUCUCCCUGCCUGUUCCCAACACCAAUGGAUCUCAAACCCCGACUAACCAGGCACCCACCUGGGACAUUUGCAAAUGGUAAUUUCCUGGUCUUCAGGGGCAGGGGUGGGGAAAAGCCUUCAGGUGAUCCUGUGACCAGCUGCUGGGCCUGGGACCCGGCCACACCCUCCCAGGGGCCCAGUUCCCACUCACUGAGCACCAGCGGUGGGCGACCCGUGAACGCAUGCCCCAUCGACCCCAGAGUCUCAUCCUCCACUUCACCUUUCCCUUCCAACAUCCUUCUCCAGUGCCCUCCUCAGCCUCCCAGAACCUCCAACUCAACAGGUCCACAUGUCACACGAUUCUCUUCCCCAAAAGCCUGCUGGCCCUUCGUUAUCCCUUAUUUUGUUAGUGUCACCAUCUGCCAGCAACAAAGCCAGAUGCAGUGGGACAUCCCUCAGUCUCCGUCAAGCCACCCGUUCAAACGUUCACCGAAUGGGGCGACAAAGAUGCCCCCAGCGCCCCACAGCCAUUCUCGAGGCCCUUUCUCUGGGCAGGCCCUUUGCUGGGUUCUCAUUCAGGCUGUAUACAUCCCCUGUGAGGAGGCAGGCUCAGACUAUGCGCAGAGGCCGGGCCGCCCUCACUGGAGUGAAGCCAGGCUCUGCUCGGCACGUCUCACCUCACCCGCCAACAACCCUGAGGCCAAGGCCGCUACCCCCAUUUUCCAGGUAUGAAAGCUGGCGCUUAGAAGAGCUACAGAACUUGCCAAAGUCACAGAACUGGUGAGGGGUGGCCUGGGGCUCAGGGACCAGCAGAUAUCACUGCCCAGUAAGUGCAGACGGCGAGAUGCAAGCCUGCGCCUGAGCCAGUCUUCUGGGUGCUUCUACUGGCACGGCACUGAGGGGGCCUGCCCAUCACCCCACCACAGCCAUCCCACCCAGAGGGGUCCCACUGUCUUAGACCCCGACCACCCACCUACAAUUUCCCCUGCCCACUUCCAUCAUCCUCUGCCCCGAAGCUGCGGCCAAGGCCCCGUCUCCUACCUGCAGUGCUGCCAGAAUCACCUUCUAGAACAAGCUGACCAUGUGACACUCCACAUGCUCAGCACAGUGAGGCUUCCCUAUCGCAGGCCCAUGACCCCUGGGCAUUCACAUACUCUGUUCCCAGGGCCCACUGGCCCCCUCCUCAGCCCCGACCCAGUCAGAAGUCAGCAGGAGUCAACGCGCCACAGGACGGAGACAUGGGGCCCCUAAGCCAGCCAGGCCAGUUCCUCCCUUUAGAGACGAGGAAACUGACACCCAGGCCAGGGCUGGAGCUGAUGACCAGACUCCUUUUCUGUGCACUGCUCAAGCCGUGACUUUGAGGAAAGUUGGGGAAAGAUUAAAAGGUGGGGUUUCACAUUCUCAGUCAGCAGCCCCGCUGGCCAUGUCCUCUGCUCUGGUUCCCCAGUGGGCAGCGGCGGUGGCCCCGCUGCUAUGGCUGGCUCGGGGGGCACCUCUCAAAGGGCACGCUCGCACCCCUCAGGUUUCAUGAGGGUUUAGUAAGCAGGAAGCCACUGCAGAGGGAAACAAGCUGAGAGUGUCUAAGCCCUUUAUUUUUGAGCCUCUCCACAAGCCUCGACUUCACGAACUGCCUUCAGCCAGGGAGGUGGCCAGGAGGAAACGCAGGGUGCCUGCUCCACUUGCAAAACGUGCAGUUUAGAUGACAAACUGCAGUCUCCCAGGGGGCAGCUCUGGCGGAAGGUAAGUUAGAAAGUGCAGGAAUUCAGUCAGGAAGAAGAGGGCCCAGAGGAAAGAGUGGUCUCAGGUUUUCAAACUUUGAGGGGAAAAAAGUGGAGAAAAAAUUAGAAGACUAACUUGAUGAUACUCUAAGCGGCUGGAGUGAAAAGGGCAGGCCCACAACCCCAGCACCACACUUGGGGACUGGGAGGUGGGGGCGCAUGCCCAUGGGCCACCAGCAGAGGAGGAGGUGACGAAGCUGGGGGUGAGAUGUAAGGUCCAGAGGAAUGGCGGAACCAAGGAGGAGAGGAGGUGACUGCAGAGAGAGCCGUCCCCAACCCAAAACUUGGCAAGAAAAGGGUCCACCUUAUGUGAGCGACGAGAAGAGAGAAAGUGCACAAGAGUCGAAGGCGUCACCCAUAUAUUCUAUACGUCACGAAAUGUCCCUCUGCCGGAAGAACACCAGGUAAACACAGGAUUGCACCGCAACGCAAAGUCUGAGCCGUGCAAAGACGCCGCUCAAGAGGACAUGUCAGAAUCAGAACCAGUAGCAACUGGGUCUCCAGCCAGACUUCCUCAAUAAAACGGAGGGACCCUGAACAAGGGGGUUCCUUUUAAAACCGAUUAAAUAAAGAAAACGGAGCAGGGGUGGGGAGGGAGAUACGCAUACCCUGAAAAAGGAGAUUUUAAAGACUCAAAUGUCUUCGUGAGUCAACAGCAAGGCGAAAGGGGGAGCCAGCUUUUGAUUAAAGCGCCUCAAAAG